AUAUUUUAAUAUGUUUUUAGCUGUUAAUUAACUACUCUUAUAUUUUAAUUGUUUCAAGUUUGACCAGCCACUUGCAUCCACGCUCAAUAAUUGAUGUUUGUUCCUCCAUCCCCCACAAAAAAAAAGAAAAGAAAAAAAAAACAGGAUAUGAAUAUUACUUUUGAUCGUAAUCAUUCUACACAAAACAAUAAUUUCCAAUUUGAAUUAAUAUUAACUGGAUUUGUAUUCAUUGUUUGUACACAUCCCCUAGAAACUAAAUUAACUUCAUGUCAUUGUCCGUCACUAUAUAUAGAGUAUUAAAUAGUGGUAGCGGUAGUAUAAUUGGUUUGUUUGGAGUGGGAGACCUGAAAAGCAUCUUUCUGUACAAUCAUUUGAUUUUAUAGGAGAAAGUCAAAUCAAAAUUGGCUGCUAAUUGCUGCCAGAAAUAAGUUUGAGCAGAGUUUGUUAUGAAUGGGCCUGAACCAGUAUUUGUAAAUGGGCUGGUGGAAUGGGAUCCAGGGUGAUAAAUAGUGCCUUGUGGGAGCAAUUGGGGUUAUGCGAACCUCUCAUCUCAAGAAAUCUAAGCUUGUCAUCCCCAUUCUUUGUUUACUGUUUCAUUUCUUAGUUUUCCAAUUGUAAUUUCCUAUUUCAGUUUGUUAAAUACAAUCAUCUUCCCUAUUGUUGAGUAUUUGUAGUAGUGUUUACUACAGAAUAAAGUAUAUUUUAGUUUAGUUUCUUCUUUUUGGAUUAAGUAAAACUAUAACAUCAAAUGCCGAUUGACAUUAGCAACUACAGCAUUAUUCAUUGUUCGUACACAUUCCCCAGAAAAUUUAAAAUUCAUUUGGAUGGCCAAGGAACUCCCUAUUUUAUGGCCCCGUUGAGUAUUAAAUAGGAGUAGUAAAAUUGGUUUGGAAGCAUCUUUCUAUAUAAUCAUUUGACUUUGUAUUAUUCCAUCAGAAUAAUGAUCAGACAUUUUACAUUGUGCCUCACAUAACAAACACAAUGUGUUCUUCUAAUUUUUUUCUCCAUUUGCUGUUCUCAGUGUCAUUUGCCUUUUGUGUUUUCUGUCAUUUUUAUUCAUCCUCUGCCUUUACGAACGCCCAUAUGCUGCCUCCGAUUUUUUUUUUUUGUUUGUUUUUUUUGUUUUCCUUCUUUAGACUAUCAAUGCAUAUAAACGCUAUUAGUUUUGGUUUUUGGUUCUUGCCUUCGCUCUGCAACUCUUGCUGAUGAGUUUGAACUUCUUUUUUCUUUUGACCUUCUUCUUGGCCUAUCUUGAUUCAUGGAUGUGCAUGGUGUUAUGGCUGUCCUUUUUUUUGUGAAUAUCCUUAUACAAAGUGCCAGGUGUUUGGAAAAAAUGUCACUGUAAAAAAUUCAGACCUUGUUCGCACUGUUGAGGACUGGAAAUCUAAGUUUUAUAUACCUUUAAGUUCUUCUGAUUUUCACUUUCAAGUUACUUUAGUAUCCUCACAACACACAGAAUAUAGUAUAGAUGUAAUUGAUAAAGAAUUAAUUGUGAAUGUAAAAAAAAGUUUCGAUAUAUUACCUUGAUACGUCGACCCUUUCACAUCACAAAAUGCUACGACAGGUUUUGUAUCUAUCAGUUUUUGUAGUAUUUCCCCAUCUUUUUCGGCUAGCUCACCCCACAAGGUCACAGUUCUACGAUCAUACCUAAAAAUAUCAAUUAGAUUAUGUAUUAGUUGCAGGAAAUGAGCAGACAUUCUUAUAUGCUUGGAGCUACAAAAACACAAUCACUAAUAGUAGUUGGUUAUUUCUUUCAAACUGGUUUAUAUGCUUGGAGCUACAAAAACACAAUCACUAAUAGGAUACUUAAAGACUAGUAUCAAUUGGAUUAUGUAUUAAUUGCAGGAAAUAAGCAAACAUUCUUAUAUGGUUGGAGCUACAAAAACACAAUCACUAAUAGUAGUUGGUUAUUUCUUUCAAACUGGUUUAUAUGCUUGGAGGUACAAAAACACAAUCGCUAAUAGGAUACUUAAAGAGUCUCUGAGUCCUAAGUUUUAGCAGAGAGAUCCAAGGCUUGUAUUGCUGAUUCAGCUUGUGGUUAGCACUUAGCAACUUGUUUUGCUGAUUCAGCUAUGAAGUGCUAAGCACGGGCCCAACGUGUAUUUUUCCGAUGUGCUUAGCACGGGUGAUUCACCACUAGUGCUAAGCAAAUUUGCAAAUCUUUCUUUAUCUAUGGUGGGUUUUAACGAGCAACAGUGAAUGCAGUCUAGAAAAUUAGAUUCUUUUACAUCUGCUUAUAAUGGUUAUUAGUUUUCAAAUCAAAUUAUUCUUUCUAGAAAUAUGAUGCUCUUUCUUUAUUAAAUUUUGUUGACAUUUUAUUUUUUGAUUUGUAGGGAGUUUUUUUACUUGAGAAUGUGGGUCUUCCAUGAAGGAUUAGAUAAGAUUGUAAUGAUUAGAGAUGUUUAAGCCCUUCCUGGGAUGAAGACAGAUUUCGUUUUACUCCACUUCUUUGGUUCAGAAUAAGCUCCCUAUACCCACAACUUUGUUAGAAACUGGGAAUUAAAAUCGACAUGCUUUUUGUUAGGAAUCUUGAAUUUUUUUAUUUUUUUUUUGGGGAUUCUUGAGUGAUAAAUGACCCUGUGUCGUCUGUCCUAUCUCCUUCAUAAACAAUAUAAGUACUUUUCUAUGAAAGAAAAUGGAAGUAGACGAGGUUUUUUAUUUAAUUUGGUCACGAUCUCGCCUGUGAAGAUACAUCUUGAACUUCUUUGCUAGGUUUUCCCAAUACACCUCAAAAAUACUAAUAAGUAUUGAAUGCAAUUGAUUUUUUUGCCAGAGUAGUGUUUUACUCAUUUGAGUUAAUAAAUGGGAAGGACGAAGACAAUGAAUCAUAAUGUUCCAAGAAAAUUAGCUCUCGCAAGAAUUGCUUAUUUUGGUUUGUAUAAUUUUCAUUAAAUUUCAUUUGUUUGUUUUGAAUCUUCUGGCUGCAUUGUAUGGAUGAUUGUUUGGUUUCUCAUUUUUGCUCGAGUAGGUAUGAAUGAUUUUGUCAGCACCAUAUUGAAUUUUGAAUUUUCUGCUUGCUUUAUUUCAGCUUUCAGUCCGUGUUGUUAUUGGUAAGUGUCGCUCUUUUGCUGCCUUUAGUUAGCUUCUUUGCAUUGAAAUGUUGAGUUUCCAAAGUAUAUAGUGCUCUUUUUGCUGGUAGUACAUCAAGAUGUGUUUGAUCAUCUUGGAUAUGCUUAUCUCUCUAUUUUUUUUAUUUUUGUAUAGAAAUUGUAUGUUUUAUGUUUAUUGGCGUUGUUUCUACCGGUGAUAUGUCCCAAAAACAGGCAUGCUGAUUUCCACAUUAUACUCGCUCUUCUAAUAUAGUAAAAAAAAAAUUGUAUGUAUUAUGUUUAUUAGAGUUGUUUCUACCUUUGACAUGUUCCCAUAAAUUGAGCUUGUAUCACUGUAUGACCAUACUAAAUAGUACUACUUAUUAAACUUGUGAAGACAUGUUUUUACUUUUCCUGAUGAGGGAAGUGGAUAAAUUAGUUUUCUAUGAAUAGUUUCUGCCUUUCUGCAAAGCUGAAUUCUGUGUUAACAUAAAUGAGUAAUCUGACAAAGAUUGAAUAUAGGCUUUCAAUAGAAUACAUAUGAUAGCUUUCUUCAUUUAAUGCAGUGUUUCUUUCUGCCAAUUCCAUUUGUUUCCUCCUUUUUUUUUUUUAUACUUCAAGUUAGGCUCUUUAGUUUAAAGAUAAUGUGGAAUACUGCUGGUAUAUAUUAGAAUAGUGGCCAUAUUUUCACUGCAUGUUUGAGUAUUUACAUAUGCUAUAUUAGAGCAAUAGAUGACUAUUUCCUCUAUUUUUCUUACUUCAAGCUAGGCUUUUUAGUUUAAAGAUAAUGUGGAAUACUGCUGGUUUAGAAAGAAUAGUGGCCAUAUUUUCACUGCAUGUUUUGAGUAUUUACAUAUGCUAUAUUAGAGCUCUAGAUGACUAUUCUCUAAUUUGAGUUUCUUCUUUCAAGGAAGAAGUACAUGUUUUUCUUGAAAGGGUCUGAACUGAGGGAAAAAUUACAAAAAAUAUGUAUAUUGCCAAGAGGCAAAGUUCAGCAUACGAUAGCUUAUGUUUAGUCCAGAUUUAUUUAUGUGAUAAACGAGAGAAAUAGAAGGUGCUUUGAAGGUAGAACAACUCCAGUUAACAUUACAACUCCAGUUAACAUCUGAAAUAUAUCCUCUAUUUGGUGUAAAUCUUGGAAUACGAAUAACAUAGAUCAAACUCUAGAUUUCAGUAGCUUUCUCAACGGCUAUAAGCAUCAGUAUGCUUUAGCUUGAGUUGUCUAUCUAUGUGCGAUUAUUUUGUUUAAAGAUCAAAGUGAUUGAAACAACAGAAAGUUAUUUUUGUUGGUGGAUUAAGUGUCUAUAGUCUUUUGAGAGUUGAAACUUCAAAAUUGAGUUUUUUGUUUGUUAAUCUUAGGUUUAGUAAACCUUUGUUUCACAAUUUAUUUUUGGUUGGAUUGGAUGUUUCUUCAACUAAGUGAUUGUACUUGGAGCCUUAAGAUCUCUGUUAAUAAGCAUUUUAUGUUUGUUCUCGCUAACAGUGUUCUGAAUAUGAGUCUGAAUUUGGGAAUGGGGUUCGACUACCAGAGGAUGUUACGAGAUGCAUUCCUGUAUUGAAGAGCACUAGAGAGGAGUUUUCAUAGUGUUGUCAUGACUAAUAAUGGUGAAGCAGUUGGUGGGUGGAACAAAUAGGGGCAAUUUAGUAUUUAAUACUACAUACAUUGUAAGCCCUGAUUUUUCAUCUGUAAACCUUGAAUGCUGGCUCUACGGAAACAUUCUUUGAUGCUGAUGAAACAAUUCUUCAAGGAUAAAACCUCUGGUGUAACUAGCCAAACAACAUAGUCAAGGCAAACUUGCUCAAUAUUGAACACGAGGUAUAUUCAAAUUUAUGAAGGAGCACUUCUUCCUGGAGAAAUAGUAGCAGCCAGUACUGCAAUGCAAUAUGUUCGCUCAGCAUCAGUAAGAUGAAAUACAUUUUUGUGCUCAUUUCCUCAUAUAUCCUUCCCUUUAGUAUUUCUUGAAAUAAUUUAUCCUUGUAAAUGUGAAGAUUAGAAAAUAUCUUGUCUAAUUUACUUGAUCGACGUUUCUAUUAGGUAUGGUUCUUGCCUUUUACCAUCAUAAAUGUUCAACGCAGCUCUGCUGGCCAUGAUUAAGCUAUAUUGGGGCGGCCGCUUUUUUUCUUUAUCUGCAUACUUGUCUUUCUGGAAAGGAGAAGGCAGCAAAACACAUAGAAAAUGUGUUUUCAUCCUAAAUAUGAUUAUCCAGCACAAAGAACUAGUUGACGACAACGAAUUUCGAAUACUUGCAUCAUUGAUUUGGGAUUUUUUUUGGGUAUUUAUAACUUCUUAUUGUACAUUCUAUUGUACAAACGUACUUUGAUGUUCAAAAAAUAAAGAGUUCGAGAAGAUCUUUGAUAAUUUCAUAAAGUUUUGCUUUC